rnacentral:rRNA from 1 species
GACGAACGCUGGCGGCGUGCUUAACACAUGCAAGUCGAACGGAAAGGCCCUGCUUGCAGGGUACUCGAGUGGCGAACGGGUGAGUAACACGUGGGUGUUCUGCCCUGCACUUCGGGAUAAGCCUGGGAAACUGGGUCUAUUACCGGAUAGGGGCCCUUCUUAUUGUGAUGGUUGGAAAGUUUUUUCGGUGUGGGAUGAGUUCGCGGCCUAUCUGUUUGUUGGUGGGGUAAUGGCCUACCAAGGCGGCGGAGGGUAGCCGGCCUGGGAGGGUGGACGGCCACAAUGGGACCGGGGUACGGCCCAGACUCCUACGGGGGGCAGGAGGGGGGAAUAUUGGACAAUGGGCGGAAGCCUGAUGCAGCGACGCCGCGGGGGGGAUGACGGCCUUCGGGUUGUAAACUCGUUUCGCUAGGGACGAAGCUUUUUGUGACGGUACCUAGAUAAGAAGCACCGGCUAACUACGUG